CAAUAAAUACGUGCGAUACUGUAUCUAGCUUGUUUUAAUAAGAUGGAGAAGUACCUUCUGCUAGGGAACUGGGGGUUCCCAUUUUCCUGGGAUAUUUUUUUUUAAAUAGCGAUUUCUGUCUCUGUCACCUGACAUGUAACUUGAUAUCUUUGACAGUCAUAACAGAAAUAAUCAGUCUAACAAUGAAAGGGAUCAUCCACCAUGACUAGAGCAUUUUGAUCAUGCCACCGUAGCAAAGGUUCAUCUUAGUUAUUGUUACUGUUGCCCUUUACAUUUAUUGCCAACAGCAUGUUCUUCAACUUUAACCUUAAUAUACAAGGUGGUGUGUGUGUGCAUGUGUGAACAGUGUUUUGGGGGUUCCUGUGGCAGGCUGGUCUCUCUAAUUAAACCAUUUUUCUGCAGAGCUUGGAUCCACAACCUCGUGGAGCUUCCACGGCUGAGAAUGCUGAGGCUCUUUGGGGUUCAAUGUGAAGCACCGUAUCAUAUGUCGGCUGGGUCAACAGUCCACAUGGGUUUUCGAUCCGGACCUUCAACUGUGAAGCUUGAUGGAGUGAGCCUCACAGGGGAACACAGAUGCUCUGGAUCAAUGGACCUGGAACCAGGUAAAACCUAAGCGAUGAAGCUCUUCUGUAUCUCAGACCUGGAUGGUGUCUUGACUCUCAGAGACCGCACAAACCAGGAGAACACGAUAGGGCAGACAGCACUAAGGGGAGGGUGACGCCCCCUUAAAUAGACUCACUAUCACUCGGCGGAUUAGUUUAGGGUCAGGGGGUAUUUUCCUGCCUUUUGGGUUGCUAGAUAAGUUAAGCCUGUGCCACAACCAAUCAGGAAAAUUACACCAGAGAAAGGGUGCCAAACUAACUGGGGAAGAAGGACACAAAUAUGGAGGAAAUGCCUCCAACAAGUUAGCUAGUAACAAAUGGCAAACAGAGGAUUGUGGCUUAAGCCCUGCCCCUCAAAGGGAGCUAAGUGCUUAAGUCCAAGCUAGAGGGAGAUAAGUAUCUCCACUCGGGAUUCACAAUCAUGAACCCUCUCCUGGAGGUAGGUGCUUAAGCCAGUUCAGUCUUAAGCCAGAAGUCUUUUGGUUGUGGUGGUGGGGUCAUCUUCUUAUAACUUUUAGCCCAGUGAUUGUGGUGCUUACCCAGACAGAAUGUAGGAGGCCUAGGUUCAGUUUCUUUCUCUGCUUGAUGUGGAGCAAGAAUUUGAACUUGACUCUUGUACCUCGCAGAAGGGUGCCCUGACAAAUGGUUCAUGGGGUAUUCUGGGGCAGGGUGUUCCAAUCUCUCUUGCUGAAGCUGUUCCAAAGCAGAUAAAUAAAUAAAUAUUCAUUGGAACA
rnacentral:lncRNA from 1 species